rnacentral:lncRNA from 10 species
AAAGGGGUUCCAAGAGCUGCUAGGUUGGUGAACACAUGGAGGUGCGGGGAGGGUGGCGAGCCCAGCGAGGACGUGGAUUCCCCACGGCCCUUCCCACAUACCCCGUUCUUUCAUUUGGCUGUUUCUGAGUUGUGUGCUUUAUAAUCAACUGACAAUGGUCCUAUGUCCCUUCCUCUUAAAUUUGGGCAGAAUUUGUGACUUCUUUGUCCAACAAAAUAUCGCAGAAGUGAUGCUGUACCAGACUGAAAAAGAGUGGCAGUUUCUAGCUGUGGUAUCUUGGAUCCAAAGAAUCAAUGACCCCAUACAACAGACCCAGUAGAGUUCCCAGGAAACAGCCAGCACCAGCCAUGUUGGUAAGAUAUCUUGAAAAUAGAUACUUCAGCCCACUUGAGCCACCACAGCUCACACCACCUGGAGCACAGUCAAGCCUUUUCUGCUGAGCCCUGCCCAAACUGCAGAUUUGUGAACCAAAUAAAUAAUUGCAAUUGUUUUAAGCCAAUAACUUUUAGGGUGGUUUGUUGUUAAAAGCUAUGGAUAACCAGAAAAAUGAGAAAGAGUCAACAAGAAGAGAAAUUGUCAUGAUUUUUCUGUGUGAAACCACACAGGGUUAAGCAGUUGUGGUUGCCUAAUUAUUCCUACUCCAUGGGAUAUCACAGGAAAGAAGAGAGUGUGCUUUACUAUGGGGUUACACUGUUAUUUUGGGAUGAUCCUGAAAGGAGUUAAUUCUGAUCCAAACUAACCAGAGAACUGACAGAAUAUAUUACAUACUUAAAGAUCAUACUUUCAUUUUGUUUGAACCACUGGAGGGAAUCCAAUCCCAAAUUAAUAUAACAAAACCAGAAGCUUGCUUAAAAAAUAUUUUAUCAGAUUCCAAAGUUGAGCUUGUGGUAGGGUGUACUGGAACCCUUUAAUAGGUACUCUAGUAAAGACAUUCUUUUCAUUUUGUAAGUGAACAAAAGAAGACAGAGUGAGCCUCUCUGGAAGUGCCUAAGUUAUUGGUAGACAUUGUCCCUAUAUUAAGUUGGAGAUCAAUAAGGCUCCAGAUCAAUAUCAGAGCUUCAUGUCAGGGGACACUAUAUGCAUGUGACAGAUGCAGCCAGGUAGGAAAGGAAAGUAAACAACUCUUUGUUUUUAUUUAAACUACUUUUUUUUU